rnacentral:rRNA from 1 species
GAUGAACGCUGGCGGCGUGCCUAAUACAUGCAAGUCGAACGCGCAGCGAGAGGUGCUUGCACCUUUCAAGCGAGUGGCGAACGGGUGAGUAACACGUGGAUAACCUGCCUCAAGGCUGGGGAUAACAUUUGGAAACAGAUGCUAAUACCGAAUAAAACUUAGUAUCGCAUGAUAUCAAGUUAAAAGGCGCUACGGCGUCACCUAGAGAUGGAUCCGCGGUGCAUUAGUUAGUUGGUGGGGUAAAGGCUUACCAAGACGAUGAUGCAUAGCCGGGUUGAGAGACUGAUCGGCCACAUUGGGACUGAGACACGGCCAAAACUCCUACGGGAGGCUGCAGUAGGGAAUCUUCCACAAUGGGCGCAAGCCUGAUGGAGCAACGCCGCGUGUGUGAUGAAGGCUUUCGGGUCGUAAAGCACUGUUGUAUGGGAAGAAAUGCUAAAAUAGGGAAUGAUUUUAGUUUGACGGUACCAUACCAGAAAGGGACGGCUAAAUACGUGCCAGCAGCCGCCGUAA